UACAGAGGUCUCAAGCGUUGUUCGGAUUCAUUGGGCGUAAAGGGUGUGUAGGUGGCGCCGUAAGUCGGGUGUGAAAUUUCGGAGCUUAACUCCGAAACUGCAUUCGAUACUGCCGUGCUUGAGGACUGGAGAGGAGACUGGAAUUUACGGUGUAGCGGUGAAAUGCGUAGAUAUCGUAAGGAAGACCAGUGGCGAAGGCGGGUCUCGUGGACAGUUCCUGACGCUGAGCACGAAGGCCAGGGGAGCAAAACGGG
rnacentral:rRNA from 1 species